AGAGUUUGAUCCUGGCUCAGGAUGAACGCUAGCGACAGGCUUAACACAUGCAAGUCGAGGGGCAGCGGGGUAGUGCUUGCACUACUGCCGGCGACCGGCGCACGGGUGAGUAACACGUAUGGAACCUGCCCGCAGCAGGGGGAUAAGCGGAAGAAAUUCCGUCUAAUACCGCGUAAGAACGUUGGGAGGCAUCUCCCGAUGUUUAAAGAUUUAUCGGCUGCGGAUGGCCAUGCGGCGCAUUAGCUAGUCGGCGGGGUAACGGCCCACCGAGGCGACGAUGCGUAGGGGUUCUGAGAGGAAGGUCCCCCACACUGGUACUGAGACACGGACCAGACUCCUACGGGAGGCAGCAGUGAGGAAUAUUGGUCAAUGGCCGAGAGGCUGAACCAGCCAAGUCGCGUGAGGGAAGACGGCCCUACGGGUUGUAAACCUCUUUUAUCGGGGAGCAAAGCGAACCACGUGUGGUUCAUUGAGAGUACCCGAAGAAAAAGCAUCGGCUAACUCCGUGCCAGCAGCCGCGGUAAUACGGAGGAUGCGAGCGUUAUCCGGAUUUAUUGGGUUUAAAGGGUGCGCAGGCGGAGGUGCAAGUCAGCGGUCAAAUUGCGGGGCUCAACCCCGUACUGCCGUUGAAACUGCAUCCCUUGAGUGCGCGAGAAGUAUGCGGAAUGCGUGGUGUAGCGGUGAAAUGCAUAGACAUCACGCAGAACUCCGAUUGCGAAGGCAGCAUACCGGCAUCCAACUGACGCUGAAGCACGAAGGCGUGGGUAUCAAACAGGAUUAGAUACCCUGGUAGUCCACGCAGUAAACGAUGAAUGCUAAUUGUCCGGGGCGAGUGAGCCCUGGGUGAUACAGCGAAAGCGUUAAGCAUUCCACCUGGGGAGUACGCCGGCAACGGUGAAACUCAAAGGAAUUGACGGGGGCCCGCACAAGCGGAGGAACAUGUGGUUUAAUUCGAUGAUACGCGAGGAACCUUACCCGGGCUCAAACGUAGCAGGAAUAACUGAGAAAUCAGUUAGUUCUUCGGAACUUGCUACGAGGUGCUGCAUGGUUGUCGUCAGCUCGUGCCGUGAGGUGUCGGCUUAAGUGCCAUAACGAGCGCAACCCCUAUCGCCAGUUACCAUCAAGUAAAGUUGGGGACUCUGGCGAGACUGCCGGCGCAAGCUGAGAGGAAGGCGGGGAUGACGUCAAAUCAGCACGGCCCUUACGUCCGGGGCGACACACGUGUUACAAUGGCGGGGACAGCGGGAAGCCACCUGGCGACAGGGAGCGGAACCCGAAACCCCGUCUCAGUUCGGAUUGGAGUCUGCAACCCGACUCCAUGAAGCUGGAUUCGCUAGUAAUCGCGCAUCAGCCAUGGCGCGGUGAAUACGAAACGCGGGCCUUGCACACACCGCCCGUCA
rnacentral:rRNA from 1 species